AUUGAACGCUGGCGGCAGGCCUAACACAUGCAAGUCGAGCGAGCGGCGGACGGGUGAGUAAUGUAUGGGGACUGCCCGAUAGAGGGGGAUAACUAUUGGAAACGGUAGCGAAUACCGCAUAUUACCGGCUUACUCAUAUGGGAUUAGCUAGUAGGUGUGGUAAUGGCUCACCAAGGCGACGAUCCCUAGCUGGUCUGAGAGGAUGAUCAGCCACACUGGAACUGAGACACGGCCCAGACUCCUACGGAGGCAGCAGUGGGGAAUAUUGCACAAUGGGCGCAAGCCUGAUGCAGCCAUGCCGCGUGUAUGAAGAAGGCCUUAGGGUUGUAAAGUACUUUCAGUCGGGAGGCGUUACCGACAGAAGAAGCACCGGCUAACUCCGUGCCAGCAGCCGCGGUAAUUC
rnacentral:rRNA from 1 species